GACCAGCUGAGGCAUUCGCUGCAGCAUGUGCGCAGCCCCAGAGAGGCUUGUUCCUGCUCUGCCCAAGGGCAAGUGUUGUGGCCGUGAAUGUGCUGAGCAGGGAGAGGGACUCAAGUACUGGGAGACGUGGCCGCGUCCUGAGGGACUCACGGUGUAGGAGGGCAAACGCGACAGCCAGAGAAACAACUGUCCUCUCAGUUACGCCGUGUGAAAAGCCGCCCUGUGUCCCGGGGCUGUCCCCAGACCAGGCCUAGUGCACCAUGGGCUGGUCCCUGCACAUCUCCAGAGCUCCCGGGGUCCAUGGCAGGCGCAGACACAAUCAUGGGCUGUGGACGGCACACGGAGCUGGUUCAGAGGCCGCAGUGCAUUCCUGCUCAGGCUGCUCCAAGAGGACACAGAGGAGUUAACUUAGAGCUCGUGUUGAUCCACUAUUGUACUUGGAGAAAAUCAUAUGGCCACGUGACAUGCAUGUUGGUGCCCGUUGUAGGUGAUGUGGUCUCAUCCUGACCAUCACAUGGCUCUUUAAAUCCUAAGAGACAUCGCAGGUACAGGCCCCAUCCUGGAGGACCCUGACAGCUCAGGGUAGCCUUAGAAGGCUCUUUCAGCCCAGCCAGCAGCUGUCCUUGGUGCUGACCAAAGCCUAACGCCUCUGAUUCCAAUAUAUCAAUAACUGGCGUCCUUUUUUUUUUUAAAGACAGGAUCUCACUGUGUAGCCCAGGCUGGGCUAAAAGUUGCUGUGAAUCUCUUGCCUCAGCCUCCCGAGUGCUGGGAUUACAGGUGUGCACCACCAUGCCCAGCUCAGUAAGAAGCAUCUUAUGUUUGUGAGACAUUUGGUUCUUUUCAAAGGACUCUAAAAUGUGUUUGCACUUUAUUAUACUAUAAUUUAUGAGAGGUACAGAAAGUGGAGUUUUAUAUGUUAAAGGUAGAAGCUGAAAGUAGUUCAGGAUUCUGGUUUGCCAUGGGGCCCUGCCUACAUUUUUGUAUUUUCAGUUACACUGUUAUGGCUUGUGUAUAGAUGUCCCCCCCCAGAGUCUUAUACAGUUAUAGGAGGGGCUUUUUCAGAGGUGGCUGGAUCUAGAGUGUGUGACUCUGGAAAUGAUUUGUGGUGCAAUGCUAGGCAUUGAUUCCCGGUAUAAGGGCACUAGGAUUAAGGGUGUGAGUGCUGCCUGCUCUAAGUAGCCUGGAUAAGACAUAAGGGACAGGAAGAGCUGUGGUUUUCCCUUGUUGCUUUGCUGCCUUCUGCCUGCCAUGGACUGUUUCUCCUCUGCCAUCCCGCCCUGCCUUGGAGCCAACUGAUUAUGGGCUGCAACCUCUACAGAUUGUGA
ensembl:lncRNA